rnacentral:rRNA from 1 species
UAGGGAAUCUUCGGCAAUGGGGGGAACCCUGACCGAGCAACGCCGCGUGAGUGAAGAAGGUUUUCGGAUCGUAAAGCUCUGUUGUUAAGGAAGAACGUGUGUGAGAGUGGAAAGUUCACACAGUGACGGUACUUAACCAGAAAGGGACGGCUAACUACGUGCCAGCAGCCGCGGUAAUACGUAGGUCCCGAGCGUUGUCCGGAUUUAUUGGGCGUAAAGCGAGCGCAGGCGGUUAGAUAAGUCUGAAGUGAAAGGCAGUGGCUCAACCAUUGUAGGCUUUGGAAACUGUUUAACUUGAGUGCAGAAGGGGAGAGUGGAAUUCCAUGUGUAGCGGUGAAAUGCGUAGAUAUAUGGAGGAACACCGGUGGCGAAAGCGGCUCUCUGGUCUGUAACUGACGCUGAGGCUCGAAAGCGUGGGGAGCGAACAGGAUUAGAUACCCUGGUAGUCCACGCCGUAAACGAUGAGUGCUAGGUGUUAGGUCCUUUCCGGGACUUAGUGCCGCAGCUAACGCAUUAAGCACUCCGCCUGGGGGGUACGACCGCAAGGUUG